rnacentral:sRNA from 1 species
CAUGUUCCUCCUCUUCCUCUUC